rfam:Pontibacillus yanchengensis Y32 contig74, whole genome shotgun sequence.
AAGACCUUUAAAUUAGUCCCGUGAGACUGAGAAGGAUUUCGGAUAAAAAAAGCACAAUACGUGUAUGGUUAUUAUCAGGCACAUAUGUGGUUUUAUCCUCUCUUGUCUCAACGGCAAGAGGGGAUUUUUUU